CUCAAUAUCUCAGUAUGUCUA
rnacentral:siRNA from 1 species